UUUCCGUAGGUGAACCUGCGGAAGGAUCAUCAACAAAACAAUAAAAUCCAAAACAAAAACACCAAUUUCAUUCCAAAAUUAUAUUGGAAUGUUUUUUUAAUGGGGAUGUGGAGAUUUCUAAUUUUUUUAAUUAGAUUUUUCUCAUGCCCCAUCAUUUAAAACUCCUAAAAAAACAAAUUAAAAAAUUAUUCCAAAAAAUUUUAAAAUAUAAAAAUAGAGACAACUUUUAACAAUGGAUCUCUUGGCUCUC
rnacentral:misc_RNA from 1 species